CACGUAGGGUGCGAGCGUUGUCCGGAAUUAUUGGGCGUAAAGAGCUCGUAGGCGGUGUGUCGCGUCGGCCGUGAAAACCUGCAGCUUAACUGUGGGUUGCGGUCGAUACGGGCAUCACUGGAGUUCGGCAGGGGAGACUGGAAUUCCUGGUGUAGCGGUGAAAUGCGCAGAUAUCAGGAGGAACACCGGUGGCGAAGGCGGGUCUCUGG
rnacentral:rRNA from 1 species